UACGUAGGGUGCAAGCGUUGUCCGGAAUUAUUGGGCGUAAAGAGCGUGUAGGCGGCCCUAUUAGUCCGCUGUGAAAGUCCAGGGCUCAACCCUGGAAUGCCGGUGGAUACUGUCGGGCUAGAGUCCGGAAGGGGCGAGUGGAAUUCCUGGUGUAGCGGUGGAAUGCGCAGAUAUCAGGAGGAACACCGGUGGCGAAGGCGGGUCUCUGGGCAGUAACUGACGCUGAGGAGCGAAAGCGUGGGGAGCGAACAGG
rnacentral:rRNA from 1 species